rnacentral:misc_RNA from 1 species
CAACGCGGUUGCAAACGUCCAAGUGGGCGGGAAUCACGGUGCGUGGUUAACAAGCAGCUGUCGCUUUGGUUUUCGUAAAAGAAUCAUUAUUUGAGUAAAGAAUACUUAUUGCGGUAGUUCCUAACAGAUGCAAAGGAGAAAAAAAAACAGAGGAGUGAGACUGUUUGGCUUCAGUCUUCAGAGAGUUUACAUGACUGGGCAUGAGUUGCGUGGAAGUUUGAAAUUUAAAACACAGAGUAGGAAAGCAUGGAUCGGGAAAUGAGGAGAGGGUAACUGAAGAUGACUCAGGAAACGAUGCAAGAGGAAAGAAAGGCCAAGCCAGAUAAAGUCGUCAUGUAGGCGGGAUGAAUAUAACUUAAACACCGUGCAAAAAAAAGUUGAAUACAACAAAGUGCUAGGCUAAGCUUUAAAUAAACAGUAAAUUCUAGAGCUAAAAUAUAUUUAUGCGUUUUUUAAUUACCUCUAAAACGGGUUCUAGUUCUGCUUGUGCCGAUAUAAUUGACAAUUCUCCUGAUCGAUUUUGAAGUAGCGUUUAUCCAGCUUCACAGCAUCAAUUGUUUUCUUUUUAAAUUUAACAUAUUCAUUGUCUUUGAGAACCCUCAACUUUGAAUUUCCUCUUUUAAAGAAACAGUCAGGUUUCUGGUCCCUUACAGAGCCAACCUUGCAAUUUAAGAGCCCCCCUGGAAUGAUUUAUCCCGUUUUUUCAAAACGGCUUAAACACGAUCGUGCAAAUACUAAUUUAUGUCCUUGGAAAUGUUUAUCGAGAUAAUUGAAUUCACUGUAGCGAAAAUACGGUAGUUUAAUGCAUCUUUAACAAAGACCAUAUUACAAUUACCAUAUUAUAAAACUUUUUAUGGCGUGAGAGGUCCAUUUUAUUGGAUUUUAUAAUUUGCAGCUGUGUGAGUCGGUUGAAUCUUGGCCGCUAACUGCGUGGAAAAGUAAUUUCCCGCUUUCUCUAAAUGAAUAUAUUCUCCCACUUAUUCUCCUACAUCGCGAACCUUCAUGCUAUUAAUCUGUCUUUAUCUCUUUGAUUCUUCACUUUUUUGUUUGGCGAAAAAGAAAAAGAAUUGUUAAACUUAUCAGAUUCGGCUCAAAAUUUGAUCAAAACUUGAAGGAAAAAAUUUGCCAUUUUUCCCUAGGUAUGACUCCUGCACAGAGAUAUCUGAUGAGACUCAUAAUAGCAACAUUCGGCGUAUUCAUCAAUAUGAUAUUUCCAUAGACGUAAGUUUCAAUUUUUCACCCCCUCAGCCUCCGUUUAAGGAAUUACGGAGUUUGUCGCGCGCUGUGGA